GACGAACGCUGGCGGCGUGCUUAACACAUGCAAGUCGAACGGUGAAGCGCCUUCCUUUUUGGUUGGUGUGGAUGAGUGGCGAACGGGUGAGUAACACGUGAGUAACCUUCCCCCUUCUUCUGGAUAACCGCAUGAAAGUGUGGCUAAUACGGGAUAUUCUGGGUCUGUCGCAUGAUGGGUCUGGGAAAGAUAUUGUUGCGGUGGUGGAUGGGCUCGCGGCCUAUCAGCUUGUUGGUGGGGUGAUGGCCUACCAAGGCGGUGACGGGUAGCCGGCCUGAGAGGGUGAGAGGCCACAGUGGGACUGAGAUGGGGCCCAGAGUGGGACGGGAGGGAGCAGUGGGGAAGAGUGCACGAUGGGGGGAAGCCGGAGGGAGCGACGCCGCGUGGGGGGUGACGGCCUUCGGGUGGUAAACCGCUUUCGCCUGUUACGAGGGGGGAUUGACGGUAAUGGGUAAAGAAGCACCGGCUAACUACGUG
rnacentral:rRNA from 1 species